AGCGUGUGAACCUGUCAUAAUCGCUUGUUCUUCUUGUUAGGUCUGCCUGCGUCGUAGCACUCGAAAACGGUUGACGUGCCUGGUCUAUCUACCGCAUGGAUCGCAAGCUCUGCACCAUCUGACGUCAUCAACCCACCAGACACCUGACACUUGCACGUGCUGAGCUGGCAUCGUUCAACGAGGGUCCAGAGCCGACCAAUCAAAGCAUCACACGAAGAACUGGAAACUGUAAAACCGAGCGUUCCCCCAAGAUCGGCUGCAGUCCGGCGGAGCGUGUGAACCUGUCAUAAUCGCUUGUUCUUCUUGUUAGAUACUCAGCAUACAGCGUCUUCAUACUUCACCGAAAGACUGGGAGGCACUGGAAUCGAAAGCUUGCCCCGAGAUUCUUAUAACGCUGCUCUGAGCAGAAGGACGAUUACCGACCUGUUAAACACAACCACCGCCCUCUCCUGAGCUUUCUCUUUGAAGAGUUGAAACACUUGCAACGCUUCACAGAAAUGGCAAGAAGAAGCGGCUGCCACACAAAGAAAGU